GGCACGUUGAAAAGUGCUUGGAUGACUUGUGGGUAGCGGAGAAAUUCCGAACGAACUUGGAGAUAGCUGGUUCUCUCCGAAAUAGCUUUAGGGCUAGCGUCGACAGAAAGAUUCUUGGAGGUAGAGCACUGUUUGGGUGAGGGGUCCAUCCCGGAUUACCAAUCUCAGAUAAACUCCGAAUGCCAAUGAAUUAUGGUCGGCAGUCAGACUGCGAGUGCUAAGAUCCGUAGUCGAAAGGGAAACAGCCCAGACCACCAGCUAAGGUCCCAAAAUAAUUGUUAAGUGGAAAAGGAUGUGGGGUUGCACAGACAACUAGGAUGUUAGCUUAGAAGCAGCUAUUCAUUCAAAGAGUGCGUAAUAGCUCACUAGUCGAGUGACCCUGCGCCGAAAAUGUACCGGGGCUAAAACAAUUUACCGAAGCUGUGGAUCCUUUAGGGGAUGGUAGGAGAGCGUUCUAUGUGUGGUGAAGGUGUACCGUGAGGAGCGCUGGAACGCAUAGAAGUGAGAAUGCCGGUAUGAGUAGCGCAAGACAGGUGAGAAUCCUGUCCACCGUAAGACUAAGGUUUCCAGGGGAAGGCUCGUCCGCCCUGGGUUAGUCGGGACCUAAGGAGAGACCGAAAGGUGUAUCCGAUGGCCAACAGGUAGAGAUUCCUGUACUAGAGUAUAGAGUGAAGGAGGGACGCAGUAGGCUAACUCAAGCGUGCGAAUGGAAGAGCACGUCUAAGCAGUGAGGUGUGAUAGGAGUCAAAUGCUUCUAUCUGUAACAUUGAGCUGUGAUGGGGAGCGAAGUUUAGUAGCGAAGUGAGUGACGUCACACUGCCAAGAAAAGCUUCUAGCGUUAAUUUAUACUCUACCCGUACCGCAAACCGACACAGGUAGUCGAGGCGAGUAGCCUCAGGUGAUCGAGAGAACUCUCGUUAAGGAACUCGGCAAAAUGACCCCGUAACUUCGGGAGAAGGGGUGCUCAGUAUAACUGAGCCGCAGUGAAUAGGCCCAAGCAACUGUUUAUCAAAAACACAGCUCUCUGCUAAAUCGUAAGAUGAUGUAUAGGGGGUGACGCCUGCCCGGUGCUGGAAGGUUAAGAGGAGUGCUUAGACGUAAGUCAAAGGUAUGAAUUGAAGCCCCAGUAAACGGCGGCCGUAACUAUAACGGUCCUAAGGUAGCGAAAUUCCUUGUCGGGUAAGUUCCGACCCGCACGAAAGGCGUAAUGAUUUGGGCACUGUCUCAACGAGAGACUCGGUGAAAUUUUAGUACCUGUGAAGAU
rnacentral:rRNA from 1 species